GACGAACGCUGGCGGCGUGCUUAACACAUGCAAGUCGAGCGGUAAGGCUCCUUCGGGAGUACACGAGCGGCGAACGGGUGAGUAACACGUGAGUAACCUGCCCUUCUCAUCGGAAUAAGCGUUGGAAACGACGUCUAAUGCCGAAUACGACUUCGGAAGGCAUCUUCUGAAGUGGAAAGCUCCGGCCGAGAAGGAUGGACUCGCGGCCUAUCAGCUAGUUGGUGAGGCAACGGCUCACCAAGGCGACGACGGGUAGCCGGCCUGAGAGGGUGACCGGCCACACUGGGACUGAGACACGGCCCAGACUCCUACGGGAGGCAGCAGUGGGGAAUAUUGGACAAUGGGCGCAAGCCUGAUCCAGCAACGCCGCGUGAGGGAUGACGGCCUUCGGGUUGUAAACCUCUUUCAGCAGGGACGAAGCGCAAGUGACGGUACCUGCAGAAGAAGGACCGGCCAACUACGUGCCAGCCGCCGCGGUAAUAC
rnacentral:rRNA from 1 species